CAGAAAGAAAUUUUGCAAUUUCCCACCGGUCGAUAACGUGUGCUUUAGUGAUAGUAAUUAUCGUCCUCAUAACAUAUAUUUAUAUCAAAUUUAAAAGAAACUUUUUUAAAGUUGCAGAUAACAGAGAAAAGAUUACGAGAUUUGCCAGUCCUGUUUUGGAUCGAACAGCUCAUGAGG